CUAUCAAUAAAGGCUUACAACAGCCUAUUGUAUGCGCCUGUGCUCAGUUGACUACUAAGUUGUUUCUGACUCUUUGCAACCCAGGACUGUAGCCUGCCAGGCUCCUCUGUCCAUGGGAUUCUCCAGGUGGAUGCUUUACCACCGAGUCACCUGGGAAGCCAGAACAGCCUCGGUCUUCACCUAGAUGAGAACCAACAAUUAUCUGCCCGUAAGGGAGGUGAGACCCUGUGGAACAUUUCUCAUUCCCUCUCUUCCUUGUCUAUUUCUUCCCUCUCACUUUCCGUCCUCCCUUUAAGCCUUUCCUCUGGGGGAGGUAUUCUUCCCUUCCCACAAGAUGAUGGACCCAGCCCAUUUUCUUCCUGGCCUUCCAUUCUUUCAGGAGAACAUCAACAAGGUCUUGUCUUCUGGGGCUCUGCUAGUCCUCUGAGAACCACAGAGGAGGGUAGAGGAGCAGAUUAUGGGUAUUACGACCCUGUGUCAGCUUCUGUCCAUGAGCAAUGCUGCAGUCUGCUUUUCCCUGAAUGAGCUAAAAGCAAACACUCCUUGCUACAGCAAUGAUGCAUGGAGCAUCUUUAACCAGGACUCCUGAGUGGGGUUGGAUUUGGCUGUUCUUUGAAGCCAGGUUGGCGCAUUUGAGGAGCUGUCUGUCCUCUCCCAUGCCAAAGCAAGUGAUUUACAGUCAAGAAGAACCAAGAUCUUCAAGCAGACAUCCAUGGCCAAGGCUCCCGCUCGCCUCACAUCAAGCGCACCUGUUUGCCCUCACGGCCAGCUGUGACUCAUCUGCUCUGUCUCUCCUUCACCUCCACCGCCUACUCACUUCCACAUACCACACCCAAGUCCUCUAGGAC
ensembl:lncRNA